rnacentral:rRNA from 1 species
AGCGAGCGGCGGAUGGGUGAGUAACACGUGGGGAACCUGCCCCUAAGUCUGGGAUACCAUUUGGAAACAGGUGCUAAUACCGGAUAAUAAAGCAGAUCGCAUGAUCAGCUUUUGAAAGGCGGCGUAAGCUGUCGCUAAGGGAUGGCCCCGCGGUGCAUUAGCUAGUUGGUAAGGUAACGGCUUACCAAGGCGACGAUGCAUAGCCGAGUUGAGAGACUGAUCGGCCACAUUGGGACUGAGACACGGCCCAAACUCCUACGGGAGGCAGCAGUAGGGAAUCUUCCACAAUGGACGCAAGUCUGAUGGAGCAACGCCGCGUGAGUGAAGAAGGUUUUCGGAUCGUAAAGCUCUGUUGUUGGUGAAGAAGGAUAGAGGUAGUAACUGGCCUUUAUUUGACGGUAAUCAACCAGAAAGUCACGGCUAACUACGUGCCAGCAGCCGCGGUAAUACGUAGGUGGCAAGCGUUGUCCGGAUUUAUUGGGCGUAAAGCGAGCGCAGGCGGAAAAAUAAGUCUAAUGUGAAAGCCCUCGGCUUAACCGAGGAACUGCAUCGGAAACUGUUUUUCUUGAGUGCAGAAGAGGAGAGUGGAACUCCAUGUGUAGCGGUGGAAUGCGUAGAUAUAUGGAAGAACACCAGUGGCGAAGGCGGCUCUCUGGUCUGCAACUGACGCUGAGG